rnacentral:rRNA from 1 species
GAUGAACGCUGGCGGCGUGCCUAAUACAUGCAAGUCGAGCGAACAGACGAGGAGCUUUCUCCUCUGACGUUAGCGGCGGACGGGUGAGUAACACGUGGAUAACCUACCUAUAAGACUGGGAUAACUUCGGGAAACCGGAGCUAAUACCGGAUAAUAUAUUGAACCGCAUGGUUCAAUAGUGAAAGACGGUUUUGCUGUCACUUAUAGAUGGAUCCGCGCCGCAUUAGCUAGUUGGUAAGGUAACGGCUUACCAAGGCAACGAUGCGUAGCCGACCUGAGAGGGUGAUCGGCCACACUGGAACUGAGACACGGUCCAGACUCCUACGGGAGGCAGCAGUAGGGAAUCUUCCGCAAAGGGCGAAAGCUUGACGGAGCAACGCCGCGUGAGUGAUGAAGGUCUUCGGAUCGUAAAACUCUGUUAUUAGGGAAGAACAAAUGUGUAAGUAACUAUGCACGUCUUGACGGUACCUAAUCAGAAAGCCCCGGCUAACUACGUG